rnacentral:lncRNA from 1 species
ACUUUGUGAGGAAAUCCUCUCGAAGACACUGCUGCUGAAUGGUGUCUCACACAUGCUCCCCAGGCCUCAGGUGGACACAGGACAUCCUCAGGCGGACACAGGACAUCCUCAGGCAGACACAGGACAUCCUCAGGUGGACACAGGACAUCCUCAGGCAGACACAGGACAUCCUCAGGCGGACACAGGACAUCCUCAGGCAGACACAGGACAUCCUCAGGCGGACACAGGACAUCCUCAGAUGAUUACGGUGUCCGCAAAGGGACAAAGGGUGUGAGUCAAUACACACAUAGCCAUUGCUUCAACCAUCC